UACGAAGGGGGCUAGCGUUGCUCGGAAUCACUGGGCGUAAAGGGUGCGUAGGCGGGUCUUUUAAGUCAGGGGUGAAAUCCUGGAGCUCAACUCCAGAACUGCCUUUGAUACUGAAGAUCUUGAGUUCGGGAGAGGUGAGUGGAACUGCGAGUGUAGAGGUGAAAUUCGUAGAUAUUCGCAAGAACACCAGUGGCGAAGGCGGCUCACUGGCCCGAUACUGACGCUGAGGCACGAAAGCGUGGGGGAGCAAAACAGG
rnacentral:rRNA from 1 species